rfam:Triticum aestivum genome assembly, contig: Triticum_aestivum_CS42_TGACv1_scaffold_307561_4AS
GCCGUUGAGGGAUGAUGAUGACUUAAUCUCUUAUAUCCUCAACGGGCUUGACAUGGAGUACCAGCCAUUGGUGUCCGCCCUUGACGCGCGCACCACUCCGGUCACCCUCGACGAGCUGUUCGGGCAGAUGAGCAACUUCGACC